CACGGACAGAACCUUCUCUGUAUUUGUAUGGCGUCGCAUGAGUACAAGUACAACCAACAUCCAUUCAACAUACAACAUUCAUUUCAUUUCAUAGAAAACCUUUUAAAAAAUCGUUUUCCACUCGGAAACCUUUUUCUUUAAAAACAAGCUACCACGAGGGGUAGAAAACUAUUUUCUCAACUCACAAAUAAUUAUAAAAGCCACAAUGUUUAAUUUUAUAAAUCCAUAAACAUUCAACCGAAAUAAAACCACUGAACCAUAAUGUCUAAAUCAUUUGUUCUAAGGAGAUAGGGUAAGAAACUAAAUCAAUAUCACCG
rnacentral:lncRNA from 1 species